AAGGUUUUAAGUUAAAAAAACUAGAAACCUUCAAAGUUUCAAAUAAAAGAUAAAUCUUUUAAACCUUA
rnacentral:tRNA from 1 species